AAUAGAUACCCUGGUAGUCCACGCCGUAAACGAUGAGUGCUAAGUGUUAGAGGGUUUCCGCCCUUUAGUGCUGCAGCUAACGCAUUAAGCACUCCGCCUGGGGAGUACGGUCGCAAGACUGAAACUCAAAGGAAUUGACGGGGGCCCGCACAAGCGGUGGAGCAUGUGGUUUAAUUCGAAGCAACGCGAAGAACCUUACCAGGUCUUGACAUCCUCUGACAACUCUAGAGAUAGAGCGUUCCCCUUCGGGGGACAGAGUGACAGGUGGUGCAUGGUUGUCGUCAGCUCGUGUCGUGAGAUGUUGGGUUAAGUCCCGCAACGAGCGCAACCCUUGAUCUUAGUUGCCAGCAUUUAGUUGGGCACUCUAAGGUGACUGCCGGUGACAAACCGGAGGAAGGUGGGGAUGACGUCAAAUCAUCAUGCCCUUAUGACCUGGGCUACACACGUGCUACAAUGGAUGGUACAAAGGGCUGCAAGACCGCGAGGUCAAGCCAAUCCCAUAAAACCAUUCUCAGUUCGGAUUGU
rnacentral:rRNA from 1 species